rnacentral:rRNA from 1 species
CGCGUAGGCGGGCCUUCAAGUCCGGGGUGAAAUCCUCCAGCCUAACUGGAGAAGAGCCUCGGAGACUGAGGGCCUCGAGGAGGGUAGGGGCAAGCGGAACUAUGGGUGGAGCGGUGAAAUGCAUUGAUAUCCAUAGGAACUCCGGUGGCGAAGGCGGCUUGCUGGACCCUUUCUGACGCUGAGGCGCGAAAGCCAGGGGAGCAAACGG